GUUCUUAGCUCAUGAAAAGUCUUCCUUGCACAAUAAACAGUUUAAAUUGAAAGCAGGUCUUCAUAAGGAGCCUAUUAGCGGCUAUAAAUGUAGAAAAGAUGAACUCAAUUGGUAUAUUAAGAAAAUGGGUACCAAGAUAACUUUGUUUCUCGGGCAGGUUUUCUUGAUUUUCAUUCUCCUCUUGGCCUCUGCAAUGGGAGUAAGGGAUCUGCUAGAGUCUUCCAAGCCUCAUGUGACUGUCAAGGCGAUGGAUGAUCCUUGGGAUGGCCACUAUAGGACUACGACGCCUCCUGCCGUUCAUUAACUUCUUUUAAUGCAAUCUUCCGGUGGAAAAUCCCCUAAUUUUAAUUUGCAAUGCUUAAUUAAUUAAAUAAUUAUAAGAAAGGAAUAAUGAAGAUCAUUUGCUACAAUAAUUUAAUAUCUGCAAGUGGAUCUGUCGGCUGGAGUUCUUUCCUGGAUUCUGCCAAGCUAGCUCCCUCAAUUGCUAUUGGCGAUAUCUUCUAUCUGCUCGCUGAAGUUCUGAUGUGAACCUUGCCUUGUAUGGACUUGUAAAUUGUUGCUUAUUUAGAAUAAAAACGAAAAUGGAUGGUUUAUCUAAAACUUUACGA